GUAACAAGGUUUCCGUAGGUGAACCUGCGGAAGGAUCAUUACCGAGUGAGGGUCCCUCGGGGCCCAACCUCCCAUCCGUGUUGUCCUGACACCUGUUGCUUCGGCGGGCCCGCCGUGGUUCACGCCCCGGCCGCCGGGGGGUUCACGCCCCCGGGCCCGCGCCCGCCGAAGACCCCUGGAACGCUGCCUGGAAGGUUGCCGUCUGAGUAUACAAUCAAUCAAUUAAAACUUUCAACAACGGAUCUCUUGGUUCCGGCAUCGAUGAAGAACGCAGCGAAAUGCGAUAAGUAAUGUGAAUUGCAGAAUUCCGUGAAUCAUCGAAUCUUUGAACGCACAUUGCGCCCCCUGGCAUUCCGGGGGGCAUGCCUGUCCGAGCGUCAUUGCUAACCCUCCAGCCCGGCUGGUGUGUUGGGCCGCCGUCCCCCCCCCGGGGGACGGGCCCGAAAGGCAGCGGCGGCGUCGCGUCCGGUCCUCGAGCGUAUGGGGCUUUGUCACACGCUUCAGUAGAACCGGCCGGCUUGCUGGCCACACGACCUUCACGGUCACCUAUAUUUCUCUUAGGUUGACCUCGGAUCAGGUAGGGAUACCCGCUGAACUUAAGCAUAUC
rnacentral:misc_RNA from 1 species